rnacentral:snRNA from 1 species
UUCGGCAGCACAUAUACUAAAAAAAAAAAAAAAUUGGAACGAUACAGAGAAGAUUAGCAUGGGCCCUGCACAAGGAUGACAUGCAAAUUUGUGAAGCGUUCCAUAUUAAA